rnacentral:rRNA from 1 species
AACGCGAAGAACCUUACCUGGGCUCGAACGGCUUCAGACAGUCGUGGAAACACGAUCUUCCCCUUAAAAGGACUGGAGUCGAGGUGCUGCAUGGCUGUCGUCAGCUCGUGUCGUGAGAUGUUGGGUUAAGUCCCGCAACGAGCGCAACCCUUGUCCUGUGUUGCCACUCCCCUUAAAAGGAAGCACUCUCAGGAGACCGCCAGCGAUAAGCUGGAGGAAGGUGGGGAUGAUGUCAAGUCAUCAUGGCCUUUAUGUCCAGGGCUACACACGUGCUACAAUGGGCGGUACAAAGCGCUGCAAACCCGCGAGGGGGAGCUAAUCGCAAAAAACCGUUCUCAGUUCGGAUCGCAGGCUGCAACUCGCCUGCGUGAAGCUGGAAUCGCUAGUAAUGGCGUAUCAGAAUGAUGCCGUGAAUACGUUCCCGGGCCUUGUA